rnacentral:rRNA from 1 species
CGACGCUGGGCGGCAUGGAUUAGGCAUGCAAGUCGAACGAGGUAGCAAUACCGAGUGGCGGAAGGGUGAGGAACGCGUGAAGUAAUCUCGCCCCCAAGUUGGGAAUAACAGUUGGAAACGACUGCUAAUACCGAAUGUGGCUUGAGAAUCGCAUGUAUUUUUCUGGCUAAAGAUUUAUCGCUUGGGGAUGAGCUCGCGUCCCAUUAGUUAGUUGGUGAGGUAAUGGCUCACCAAGACGAUGAUGGGUAGCUGGUCUGAGAGGAUGGUCAGCCACACUGGGACUGAGACACUGCCCAGACUCCUACGGGAGGCUGCAGUCGAGAAUCUUGGGCAAUGCGCGAAAGCGUGACCCAGCAAUGCCGCGUGUAUGAUGAAGGUCUUCGGAUACGUAAAAUACUGUCCUCCCGUGAACGAAAGAUGACGGUAGCGGGGAAGGAAGCCACGGCUAACUACGUG